CCUACGGGAGGCAGCAGUGGGGAAUAUUGGACAAUGGGCGAAAGCCUGAUCCAGCCAUGCCGCGUGUGUGAAGAAGGCCUUCGGGUUGUAAAGCACUUUCAGUGGGGAAGAAAGCCUUGGGGCUAAUACCCUCGAGGAAGGACAUCACCCACAGAAGAAGCACCGGCUAACUCCGUGCCAGCAGCCGCGGUAAUACGGAGGGUGCGAGCGUUAAUCGGAAUUACUGGGCGUAAAGCGCGCGUAGGCGGUCUGAUAAGCCGGUUGUGAAAGCCCCGGGCUCAACCUGGGAACGGCAUUCGGAACUGUCAGGCUAGAGUGCAGGAGAGGAAGGUAGAAUUCCCGGUGUAGCGGUGAAAUGCGUAGAGAUCGGGAGGAAUACCAGUGGCGAAGGCGGCCUUCUGGACUGACACUGACGCUGAGGUGCGAAAGCGUGGGUAGCAAACAGGAUUAGAUACCCUUGUAGUC
rnacentral:rRNA from 1 species